GGUUAUGAAGCGUUGUUUAUUUAAAGCACAAAUCGAGCAUCAGGAGCAAACAAGCAGUUUCUUCGCAUGCAUGGGACUCUCCAGAGUGUGCGAAUAAUCGCUACAUUGCCAGUAAAGUAUGGCUAACUAAGCGACGUAUACUGCUCCGCUUCCCGAAGGUUCUCAUGUUUCAUGUCUGCGCUAUGCCCGUGGGGGUGAAAGUUUACCAUACUUUUGCUCCACUUCUGCGUUUAAUUGGGCGCUGUUGACGCUUUGAAAUAUUUGAAAAUGAUUAGAAAAAUAUGCGUAUUUAUAAACAGUGUCUAUUCGAUUGGAAGACCGAGUCCGAUUAGAUAGUAUUCGAUUUGCUAUUCGAAAUUUUCGAGUAAGUGCACGCCCCCAGCUAUUUUCUUUCAUUGAGACGAUAUACUGGCGUUACCCCGUGUCAAGACCAAGAAUGAAGACGCGCUUUCUCGUUGUAGAAGUGGUUACAAACGGACGGUUUUUCAUUACUUUACCUGGUUUUGGAACAACGUUAACGAUCACUCUCUCGGUGAUACAACAGAGGAGGAGAAAAGCAGACAGAAAAAGAUAUCAAAUUUUUUGCAAGUGAUCAGGUGUGCGUUGCUGUGCGUCAUCAGUGAGCGUCAAUGUUACUGCAGCUAGCCCUGUUAUUAAUUGAAACUAACCUGCAAAAUAUCGAAUUGUUCUGACAUGCACACUAUAUCGAUUUUAUAAAAGCUAUAAAAAUAUACUAUCGUACGGCACAAACACGCUCUUCAGCACUUAAGGAGGAUGAAAGAGGAAGAGGUUAUGCUGAUAAUACAUUCUGCUAGAACGAAAAGAAAGUAGUACGAAGAGGGGAGACGAAAGACGAGAACAAUAUUUCGGGGUGGGCCAAGUGAAUUUUGGGUGGGGGCCAGGUAGGUUUCGAGCAUGGAUGAACUUAAUUUUUGAGUUGGGCAAAGUCAAAUUUUUUUUUUUUGGAUGUGGGCCAUAGCGUCCGUGCGACGGCAUGGCUGUUCACCGCAGGAUUUUGCAGUGCGAGCUGCAGCAGGUCCAGCGCCGGGAAGGUGACGUCAUCACUUGGUCACGUUGGUUUUGGUGCCAUCGUAUGUUAACGCCGGACGCCGUAUUUCUCGCUUCAUGAGGAAUAUAAUGCUUUCGCAUUAAAACAGUACACUCGCGGGCGAACGUAUGAGAAAGGCGCGUAAAAUGUACUAAUAUUUCAGCAGCAAUAAAGAAAAAGGACAACAAUAUAACACUGACACAAACAACCCUGGACGUAUUUGAUAGCUAGAACGAGACAUCGAUGCCGACCCGAAGGUUGAAAACUUCGGCUGAGCUGUCGUAGUUUAUUUCCUUACGACACGUGCCGCAUGAACGUGUUUCAGUCUCUAGGUUCAAUGUCACGUUGUGUAUCUACGCCAGUACACCCUUACAGGUGCGCACAACUCCUGCAGUAAACGAACACGCCAUCGGGAGAACUUCGAGAGAUCCGGUCCUGUAAUCUUUCUUUCCUACGCAAAAUGGCAAAAAGAGAAAGUCCUGGUCGCUGCGCAGCAUUUAGUACAAGCCUGUUUUGAGCUACUGAAGCACCACGUGACUGUCCGAGCUUUCAUUUGAUGCGUAGUUCAAACGGGCGAUACGACCAAUAUAAAGCGAACGCUUCGGUUCCUACUUCGCCAGUUUCUCUGGAGCCACGACCACCGUUAUGAAGAACUUGGCUUGGAUAUUAGCCCUGACGCUGCUGUCGGCAGGUGAGUUUCACCCAAACAUUUUCGGUGUACUGGCGUCGAAGCUUUUAAAGAUGAGACAUAUUUGUUCCUGCUAACUUAACAGGUGUCUUUGUCUGAUAAACUCAACCGGUUCUACAUUUGCGCUGAUGACCAGUUACCAUUAUAACUAGUUUGGAAAUGAUUUUUCUGUUCACAUAAUUGCUGUUUGAGCAACUCGGGUGUGCUAUGCAAACUAUGCCUAGCAUAGUUUGCAUAUAGGAUUGUUGCAUAGUUUCUUUAGUGGCAAAUGUGAUGAUAGUAACCUUGAAACAAAGAAGGAAUUCGCUACACGUCAUUAUCAGUAUACGGUAGCGCAUAACACAACAACAAAGAGCAAGUAAACAAGACGGGCGUCCUUGUCGUGUCUUGUACUGCCGUAUCUAAUAUGAGUCCUUAACCGCUUGCCGAAUUGUUAGUUUUAUUCGCUAUGCCUGCUCACUGCAUGUAUCGGCUCCCCCAAGAAACCUGCGGUAGGAAUUUGCUCAAACGCCACCGGUGAUUUCGCUGCAAACAGCAGUUAUGGCCAAAUUCUUCCGGCGUACUCUUCUUUAGUUUCACCCCAGUAGAGACAACGGGAAUAAUGAGAUAUAGGGUAAUAAAUCAUAAGUACAUCUCCUGACGAAUAAUGCUCGCCGAAUGUAAUCCUGCAUUACUUAUUUUCUUCCCAUUUAUAAGAAACGUGCUCUAGAACAAUCUCAUGCGACGCUUAAGAAAGAAUCAACGUAUUUGUAAUAUCAAAGAAGGAAACUAGGCGAUAACUUGUGAGGGAAUCUGUGUCGUGUUUCGGAAACUUCGAGAGGCUGCAGAUAUAUUGAGCAGAUCACCAGAGACAUGGAAUGGCUCCUGCCGCACUUGCAUACGGAACAGAGGGAUUUGAAAGGGGCAGUUUGCUAACAUUAUCUAUGUUGCAGCCUUGCUCACGGAGGCCCAGCAAUACCCGGGACAGGGAGGAUUUCCACGGCCUGGUGCAAGGCCGAGAUGUGGCAACGUAUUUUGCCGCCCUGGACAACGCUGCAUCUAUGAAAAAGUUGUUUGCAUAAGGUCACCAUGCCCAGCAAUUCCUCAAUGUGUAUGAGAAGGCAGCUACAGGAGUUUGCUCUGCACUGUUUACCAUCCACGCUACUACAUGCAGUGCCAUAUUUCCAUAUACAAUAAAAAAAUGGAACUCACAUACGAUUAUGGACAACUUUUU
rnacentral:lncRNA from 1 species